rnacentral:rRNA from 1 species
UCCUAGUACGAGAGGACCGGAGUGGACGCAUCACUGGUGUUCGGGUUGUCAUGCCAAUGGCACUGCCCGGUAGCUAAAUGCGGAAGAGAUAAGUGCUGAAAGCAUCUAAGCACGAAACUUGCCCCGAGAUGAGUUCUCCCUGAGACUUUAAGUCUCCUGAAGGAACGUUAAAGACGAUGACGUUGAUAGGCCGGGUGUGUAAGCGCAGCGAUGCGUUGAGCUAACCGGUACUAAUGAACCGUGAGGCUUAACCUUACAACGCCGAAGCUGUU